rnacentral:rRNA from 1 species
AGCUCCAAUAGCGUAUAUUAAAGUUGUUGCAGUUAGAACGCUCGUAGUCGGAUUUCGGGGCGGGCCGACCGGUCUGCCGAUGGGUACGCACUGGUCGGCGCGUCCUUCCUUCCGGAGACCGUGCCUACUCUUAACUGAGCGGGGGCGGGAGACGGAUCGUUUACUUUGAAAAAAUCAGAGUGUUUCAAGCAGGCAGCUCGCUCUUGCAUGGAUUAGCAUGGGAUAAUGAAAUAGGACUUUGGUGCUAUUUUGUUGGUUUCGAACACCGAAGUAAUGAUUAAAAGGGACAGUCAGGGGCACUCGUAUUCCGCAGAGAGAGGUGAAAUUCUCAGACCCGCGGAAGACGAACCACUGCGAAAGCAUUUGCCAGGGAUGUUUUCACUA